GCAGCCAAAGGAUCAGAUUUGGUAUCCUCACCUUCACAUCGGUGAGAUCGACGUUCCUCUUCCUGAGAUACUUCAUGAACUCCCGGAAGUUCGCCUCCGUGGGCCGGUAGUGCCCGCUAUGAGGCCACACAGCCUGAAGACGAAGGGUAACUGAAUCAGACAGGUGAGCUUGGAACUCCAAACAUGAAACUGUGACAAGAGUAGAAAUCUGCAGAUCCAGGCACCUUUAGGAUUCCGUUCACGACGACUAAUCUCCCGGCAGCAGAUGUGGCUCCACCGGCAAGGAAGCUGGAGUGCUGAAAUGUUCCCUUGCUCUUCUGCAAUAAUGUGCUUAUUUCAUCAGUUACAGAAUUUUCGUCGUGCUCAACACAAAGAUCCAUUUUGCAUCCUUGGGCCCCUCGGACGUGUCGACAAUCUUGCAGCUCAGCUUGUACAUCAUAAUCUUAUUCUCAAUUUUUACCUCAUAGAACUCCCUCUCUUUCUGCACAAAGAAACAACACCAUGUUCAGAUAUGUGACAUUUUAUGCCCUGUUUUUUUGUUUCCUUUCUUGAUCGCUAGUACUCCCUCCGUAAACUAAUAUAAGAGUGUUUAGAAUACUAAAAUAGUGAUCUAAACGCUCUUAUAUUAGUUUACAGAGGUAGUACUAACUAACAUUUUCUAAUUUGAGAUUGCAGCUGGAUUGUUCUACAGGUCGCAGCAACUUACAGGGCCAAGAUACCUGAUGCAUUGCUGCAGCAGCUUCCAUCUUGGGCAGUGGUCCUCAAGAUUAAUCUCUUUUCCUUCACCCACAUCCAACCUAUCACAAACGGAAUUUCAGAAAUCGUGAGCUUGUUUUUGUUGAUCUAGUUCACAGAUAAUGCAGAGUUCAGCAUGAACUGUACCAGUAGAAGAAAGGUUGUUGACUGUCGCAGUGAAGCCAGCUUUUGUAAUAGUAGUGGAGGUUGUGACCGUAUCGAUGCCGGGGGUCAAUCUGCCCAUGAAACACUAUGGAAUUUGAGUUUGAUGUGUUCAAUGCUAUUAUAGGAGAGUGUUUGAGGAGAAUGUUUCCGAGCCAUACUGCUUCUAGCCAAUGCUGAAGUGCGAGCUUCUGGGCCUUUUCAUCCUUGGACAAACCUUUGCCUACCUGAAGUAACAACAAAGGAACACCACCCAUAUGAAUUCAGUAUUCAGCAAUAUUACAAUAUGCUGAUGGUCCUUAAGAAAAUCUAAACAGCAUCAUUUCAGCAGAAUAUGGUUAGCUUAAAGUGACACAUACCUUGGCAGCCUUUAUUCUGGCCCGUGACCAUCUUGAGAGGGCAGUCUCUGGCUUCUCUUCCUCGAAGAAUGACACCGAACUUUGCUUGAGCAGUGCGAAAUCGAGCAGCUUCCACCUGAAUUCGGCAUCGCAAAUUUCAGGCAUCGUUACACCAGUGACAAAGAGCCACUGUAUCAAAUACAACAAUGGACGACAAGCACAUGAAAUUGUAACAUACCACCGUUGUUCGACAAGAACAGCGCAGUCAGCAAGCUGCCGUCUUGUUCUGAAGCUCUUGUAUACCUUCUGCACCCUUACUGCUGCGGCCUGGUGCUGCAGGCUGACCAUCCCGACCACCGGAGAAUUUGGUGGCAGGCUUCGUAGAGCUCACGGCAUCGGAUAUUUCCGGUGGCGAAUCAGGGGUCUCAAGGCUGCCGAGGUUGUCUAAGCUUAAGGACCGGACGAAUAGCCUGUCCGAGUUGUCAUCAUCUGCUGGCAAGUAGUCAUCCGGUGG